rnacentral:lncRNA from 1 species
CUUUGUUCCUGGCUUAAUUUGUCAAAGACACCGAACGGUUGUUCGUCAUAAAAGCCACGUUAGUGCUUGUUAUGUCAAUAGCUGUCGUUAUAGCGCAACCGCCCUAUUAGUUAAAACCGCAUUUCCAUGGAUUAGGUGGUCCACUUGGCUACCAUGGAUUUCAUCGUUUUCAUAGAUACCAUGGCUUAGAUAGUGGUUUUCAUACAUUCUCUGGAUUCCGUCAACUUGGAGCAUUUGAAGCUAACAGACUUGGCUUUGGUAGAUUUGAUAGUUUUGUUGACGAUGGCGGUUUCCUUGGCUUUCACAUCAAUGAAGGUUUCUUUGGCGGCGAUGAUGAUGGCAUUUUUGGCGUUAACGGCGGCUUUGGUGGCGUUGAGAGCGGCUUUGUCAGCGAUGACGGUGGUUGGCUUUGGUGGUGAUAACUGAGAGUGUCGGACUGCACGGAAAAUCUCAUCUUCUCAUCUUUCAGGCGUUUACUCAUUUCUUCGUGCGUCCUAUUAUUUGGACAUUUUAUUCAUCCAGAAACAUUACUUCUUUUUGUUACUUUACCGUAGUUAUUUAUUAUCAUAUGGCUUAAGAACUGAAUCGAUCGGCUUUUUAUAGUCUGUAAAGGUAUAAAUUAUUGUUUCUUUAAUCCCUAAUGAAUUUUGAAAAUAUGCAUACAAGAGAAAAAUUUUCGAAGUGUGUUAAGAUGUUGUGUUUUUUUUUUUCAGAUAUUAAUUCAUUGUUUAAAACAAUGUGAAAUAGGCAUGUUCUCAUAAUGUCAAACUAAAGCAUUCGAAUAAGUAUCAAGAAUCAAAACUUAUAAGCAACUAUAGGGAACCAAGCAUUGGACAUUACAGGUUAAGGCAACAUACCUUUUAAAAUUACACGAAAGGAUGAGUGCAUUUGUUCCAGAGGAAGUUGAAAUGAAAUAGUCAUAUGAAAGUGCAUACUUUCCGGAUAGUCUGAGUAUGUCAAUCGAUCAAUGCGAAACCAAUUAUUCUACACGAAAAACAAAAAAGGAAAUUUUAAAACUAGAAAACACCAGGUCACAUGGAUAUUCCAACAAACUUGACAGUGCCUAAUUUGUUUUAUAUAAUGUGUACAGUGAUUGUUUUCCUUGUAUAAAAGUACUUCAAACAUGGUCCUAAGGAAUUAUCUCCCCUAUACGUAAAUCUUCAACAUCAAAUCCAAGAGACCCUGUGACAUGCAGAUUCAAUUUUGGCGGUAUUAAUAAUCGGAUUUAAAAAUGAACAAAAUAUUUUUGUGAAGGGUAGGGGUACGCUUGAUCGUGUAAAAGGUCUUAUGUAAUAACAUAUCAACAAUUGCUGCUUUCAUUGAUUUCAAACAAUUCCUUUGAUUUUAUCAACCAUUAGGACGUUAUUGUAAAAUAGCGUUGGUGAACUGCUAAGAGCAAUGUUCUCGAUAUAUAGAGACAUUACAUGUUGUGUCAGCCUAAUAUGUUUUUAGACAAACCAACAACAUUCAGUCAGAAUAUUUAUAUGCGCAACAGUAUACCAGGGCUGUUGAAAAGUUUUUCUUAAAAAAAAACAGAAAUUGUGGAUUAUCUGCACCUCAGAGGCUAGGUUAGAAAAAAAUGUGCGGAACUUUUUUCUUGUUAUGCAUAUAAGGUAAAAAUAGAUUCGCACUCAGCCGAAGAUCUGCCAUUAUUUUGCAAAAUUUCGCUGAUAAGUAUUUAAAACUGGUUGAUAUGUGAAUUCAGUAUAGAAAAGAAAACUUGUUAAAACUGCCUUUUAUCUCUUAAAGAUGAAGACACAUGUAUUUGAGUGCCGAUUGCAUUACUGUAUGCCUCAGUACAAAAAUCUGUAAUCUAGAUUGAUGAAAAUUAUCUGAUUUAUAAAGAACAUAGAAAGAAAUAGUCUUCUUAAAUUAUAAUAAAGUUUAUUGCCGUGCUAAAAUUAGCCCCUAGAAUUCGAGGUUAGGAAGUGUUUUACUUUAUAGUAAAUAGUCUAAUCUUUUAGCCUGUACAUGUAUUAGUUUUUGUACCGAGGAAGCAUCUAUUGUUAGUUAAUGUUCCAUGGAAUAAUAUCGUUUUUAUGUAUUUUAUUAAUCGGCUUUUUAGUAAAAUGAGGUUUCUGCUUUCAGUUUUUAGUUUUUACUAAGCCUCUAUUACAACACAAACUAAGCAUUCAAAUUGUUAUACAGUAGAUUGAAUAGAGGCAAAGAAUGGCUUUUAUGCUUACUCGUUUGUCAAGUUGCAAACUAAUGUCUCCAAUAAUUCUUUCAUACAUUUUAGCUUUAUAAUAUGUAAUUAUGUUGCAUGACGUAUAAGCAACCGUGGCUAUGAUAAAAUAUAUUGUGUUGUAAUGUAAUUUAUGGUACUAUAGUGUGAUUCCAUAGACUAGAAAAGUGUUCAACACGUGUUCUUUAAGGUAGUUCUGCCCGUUUGGAUCGAAAAAAAAAUCUACAAUGUAAAAAAGUAUUUAACCCUGAGGUUUCAAAACUUCAGAACAUGCUUAAAAAUUCAGCAAAUAGAAAUGAUAGGGUCGUGUGCUUGAUAUUUUGCUAGACGGAUUUGGGAAAAGAAAUGGACCUGACGCAUUUUUCAUAAUUGGAGUCCAUGGGAAAAUCACAGGUUUCAUAAUAUUUUCGUAGAUUUUAAUGACACUUCACACGGUAAUAAAUAAACAUAUGGUCUGUAAUAUAUAGAAGUAAAAUGUUUAGGUCCGUGUGAUUAUUUGUGAGAUAUUUGACCAUACUUAAAGUGAACCGCACAUUUCAAGAUAAAUUAAGACAUUAUUUUGAACUAUUUAACUAUUUUCUCAGAUGUUUUAAUAUCAUAUUUUUAACUUUCGAAAGAUAGUAAC